rnacentral:rRNA from 1 species
UACAGAGGUGGCGAGCGUUAUUCGGAAUUAUUGGGCGUAAAGGGCGCGUAGGCGGCUUGACAAGUCCCGGGUGAAAUCCCUCGGCUCAACCGAGGAACUGCCUUGGAAACUGUCUGGCUUGAGGCCGGGAGAGGGUAGUGGAAUUCCCAGUGUAGCGGUGAAAUGCGUAGAUACUGGGAGGAACAUCGGUGGCGAAGGCGGCUACCUGGACCGGUUCUGACGCUGAGGCGCGAAAGCGUGGGGAGCAAACAGG